CAAUAAGUUGUAAAGUCGAAUAUCGAGCAUUAAGUGUUAGGUUGUUGGAAUAAAGAUAAAUAUAUAGCCAUUAAAUUGUGACUUUAAUUUAACAAUCCAGUGAUCGAACUCAAGAGUGAGUUACAGGUAGACGAUUUAUCGGGAAAUCCGUUACAAUAUUCUCCAUACCAUUGCAAUAUCAUAACCAUUGUUAGUAUACAAGUAUCUGUCAAACAUUUUUCAUGUCUAGAGAUUUUAUAUGCCGCAUACUUAUAUAAACGCGGCGGCAACGCUGAGCGUUGAAAAUUCAAUUUUGAAGCCUGCUGCCGUGAAGUAGUGCUGUUGUCUAAAUAACUGUGCUCAUCAGAACGUGUCCAUUCACAGCGACAAGACUGGCAUAUUAUAUACAAAACAAAACUUCAUUACUUGGAAGAUACCGGUUAUAACGAAGUUUCCGCAUACUAGUUCACGCUCUAUAACAGCAGUUCUACAGUAUUAAGGCACUUGGACAAUUAUUCUUAGUAUUUUGAUUUGGAAUUGCUGAAUGACUUACUUAUUAUUUGCGUUGCGAGUUGUGCACCAUAGCUCCAUUACGAUCUGAGUACUUCUUUAAAAAUAAGUAGCUUGUUUCCUAUGAAUAUGGUCUACUACCAAUUAGCUAAUUAAUAUUUUUAAGUUGGAUAUGUAGCUAAUAUUUUGUUAUUAAUUUUAAUUUACUGGAACUCCUCUCACAUGAAGCUACGAACACGCAAACCGUCAUGAACAAUUUCAGUGCAAUCAAAAGAUUUGGAAGAGAUUCUCUAAAAUCCCAUUCUACAAUAAACUUUAAAAAAUCUAGAGGCACCCAAUCAGUAACCGUAUACAUAGAGCUGAGCUAGUGCUAGUGGAGGAAUCUCCGAAAAAAAAAUUUUGUGCUAGCGAUUUAUUUUUGAGAGACCGGGUGGGUGUCACCCCAAAACAGGUGGUAUUAAGUAUAUGAUGGAAUAUAAUUAUAUAUUAAACGAAUAACGAAAAAUUAUAGUUUAAGUUUAUAGUAGUAAAACCGAAAAAGUACCUUUUCUGUCAAAACAAAAUUAUA